AACUACUACCAGCUUCAUGGCUCGAGGAGAAUCUCUCGUUCGAGAUGAGAGCAGUGGAAGCAGCGAAGGUCAUGAUACUAGUAUAGGUUACGAAUCAGAAAUGAGAAGUGACGUAGAUUCAGUGGUCCAGACAAGCAUCAAGUCGCUUCUGUCUCAAGUGCCAAAGGAAUAUCUCCGUACAUUGGUGGAAGAGGUGCAG